CACGGGGGUUGCGAGCGUUGUCCGGAUUUACUGGGCGUAAAGGGAGCGUAGGCGGACUUUUAAGUGAGAUGUGAAAUACCCGGGCUCAACUUGGGUGCUGCAUUUCAAACUGGAAGUCUAGAGUGCAGGAGAGGAGAAUGGAAUUCCUAGUGUAGCGGUGAAAUGCGUAGAGAUUAGGAAGAACACCAGUGGCGAAGGCGAUUCUCUGGACUGUAACUGACGCUGAGGCUCGAAAGCGUGGGGAGCAAACAGGAUUAGAUACCCGGGUAGU
rnacentral:rRNA from 1 species